AUGGAAUAUACAUUGGAAGAUGCUUUUGAAAAUUUGAAAGAUACUUUGACAGAACGUCAAAAAGAAAUGGAAAACUUAUGUGAUAUAAUUAUGAAUAAUAAACCAAUUGCUUUGAAUAAAACUUGCACUUCAGAAGAUGUAAGAAAAAAGCAAUAUAAAUUGUAUAAAAGUUUAUUGAAUAAAGUUCUUCAGGAAAUACCAAAAGAUUAUCCGAUUCCUCAUACAUCUGAUUUGCAUAUUGAAAUUCUAACAGAACUUGAAAAUGAAGUGCUAAAUGCUCAACAACUUCUUGACAAAAUGAAGACGCAACUUUCGAAUAUUAAUGAAGAUAUAUCUUAUUUAGAAAAGAAGAAAAUGGGUUCGGAAAAGAUGCGAGAAGCCUUCUUGAAUGCAGAACAAUUGACAGAUACUACAACUUAUAAUAAAGAACAUGUAAUAACUAAACGCAUGUUCAAAAAUGUAAAAAAGGAUUUGCAUAUGGUAGUAGAAAUGUUGUUCCCAGAAAAUCAACAUUUCAAAGACUGUUUAGGGAACUUAACAUCAGCAUAUACAAAAGGAGGAGAUGAAAUGUAUAUAUCUAUUACACCAGAAACUCUAGUGUUUAUGAACUUCCUGAUUGAGGCUGGUAUAAUUACGUAUCAUAGAAAUGACAAAACUAGAGUGAGACUAAUGGAUAUGUUAUAGGGAAUUUGAAGAGAAAUCCGAUUAUGUAGCCACAUACCUAUACCUUGGAAUUUCAUACCUGAACCAACUACAAAUAUACAUACGACAGCGAUCGAUACUUUGAAGAACAGCAUGAUCCAAACCUAACAAUUGUUGAGGACCUACUACAAAAUCACGCGGGGCAUCUAAAUCGCGAUUCGAUAAGGUAAUCGGUGCCGAGUCUACUGCAUCCACAACUACUUCUUCUUCUCCUGCUACAGUCGGUGCUGUUGCUUCUUCUUGCAUUUCAGAUGUUUGUUCAAGAUUUUCUUUCAUGCCUCUUCUCUAAACAAUAACGGAAUUAAUAUUUUUGUUAGAAAAAUAAACAUACUCAUUUUCUUAUGUAA